CAUUGGUCUUACAGCUCGGCCAUAUCUACCAACAACACUCUGGAUUUUUAUCAUUCACAUAUCAUUAACAUUGUCAAAAAAAAAAUAUUUCAUGAAAUAAUAACAAAAAUAAUACAAAAAAAAGAGAAGAAGAUUAGGGUUAAAAAAAGGGUGACGCUUCGACUUCGACUAUUCUUCUUCUCCUAUCGCCGCUGCAAAAUUUCUACUCUUUUUUUCCGAUUCAAAUCAUCGGCAAGAGCGGCCAUCUCUGUUUUUUCAAUCUCUUCCACUCAAUCUCCUCCAUUAAGCAACGAAAACACUACCGUGGCGCUCUCAAUUUUGCUAUUCUUUCUCAACAUCGCGCUACACAGCUUUUUCAUUUCAAUGUUUCACCAUCAUCGCUCCCUCAUCGAAUCUCUGCCUUGUGCUCUCAAUUUCUCACCUCUCAGUUUAAACUCGAGAUUUCAACAGAUGCACGAAAUUGACAAAAUCAAGAGCAAUAGGAAUUACCUACCGAAAUAA